UGUAUAAUGGGUCAGCGACUUAUAUUCUGUAGCAAGGUUAACCGAAUAGGGGAGCCGAAGGGAAACCGAGUCUUAACUGGGCGUUAAGUUGCAGGGUAUAGACCCGAAACCCGGUGAUCUAGCCAUGGGCAGGUUGAAGGUUGGGUAACACUAACUGGAGGACCGAACCGACUAAUGUUGAAAAAUUAGCGGAUGACUUGUGGCUGGGGGUGAAAGGCCAAUCAAACCGGGAGAUAGCUGGUUCUCCCCGAAAGCUAUUUAGGUAGCGCCUCGUGAAUUCAUCUCCGGGGGUAGAGCACUGUUUCGGCAAGGGGGUCAUCCCGACUUACCAACCCGAUGCAAACUGCGAAUACCGGAGAAUGUUAUCACGGGAGACACACGGCGGGUGCUAACGUCCGUCGUGAAGAGGGAAACAACCCAGACCGCCAGCUAAGGUCCCAAAGUCAUGGUUAAGUGGGAAACGAUGUGGGAAGGCCCAGACAGCCAGGAUGUUGGCUUAGAAGCAGCCAUCAUUUAAAGAAAGCGUAAUAGCUCACUGGUCGAGUCGGCCUGCGCGGAAGAUGUAACGGGGCUAAACCAUGCACCGAAGCUGCGGCAGCGACGCUGAUGCGUUGUUGGGUAGGGGAGCGUUCUGUAAGCCUGCGAAGGUGUGCUGUGAGGCAUGCUGGAGGUAUCAGAAGUGCGAAUGCUGACAUAAGUAACGAUAAAGCGGGUGAAAAGCCCGCUCGCCGGAAGACCAAGGGUUCCUGUCCAACGUUAAUCGGGGCAGGGUGAGUCGACCCCUAAGGCGAGGCCGAAAGGCGUAGUCGAUGGGAAACAGGUUAAUAUUCCUGUACUUGGUGUUACUGCGAAGGGGGGACGGAGAAGGCUAUGUUGGCCGGGCGACGGUUGUCCCGGUUUAAGCGUGUAGGCUGGUUUUCCAGGCAAAUCCGGAAAAUCAAGGCUGAGGCGUGAUGACGAGGCACUACGGUGCUGAAGCAACAAAUGCCCUGCUUCCAGGAAAAGCCUCUAAGCAUCAGGUAACAUCAAAUCGUACCCCAAACCGACACAGGUGGUCAGGUAGAGAAUACCAAGGCGCUUGAGAGAACUCGGGUGAAGGAACUAGGCAAAAUGGUGCCGUAACUUCGGGAGAAGGCACGCUGAUAUGUAGGUGAGGUCCCUCGCGGAUGGAGCUGAAAUCAGUCGAAGAUACCAGCUGGCUGCAACUGUUUAUUAAAAACACAGCACUGUGCAAACACGAAAGUGGACGUAUACGGUGUGACGCCUGCCCGGUGCCGGAAGGUUAAUUGAUGGGGUCAGCGCAAGCGAAGCUCUUGAUCGAAGCCCCGGUAAACGGCGGCCGUAACUAUAACGGUCCUAAGGUAGCGAAAUUCCUUGUCGGGUAAGUUCCGACCUGCACGAAUGGCGUAAUGAUGGCCAGGCUGUCUCCACCCGAGACUCAGUGAAAUUGAACUCGCUGUGAAGAUGCAGUGUACCCGCGGCAAGACGGAAAGACCCCGUGAACCUUUACUAUAGCUUGACACUGAACAUUGAGCCUUGAUGUGUAGGAUAGGUGGGAGGCUUUGAAGUGUGGACGCCAGUCUGCAUGGAGCCGACCUUGAAAUACCACCCUUUAAUGUUUGAUGUUCUAACGUUGAC
rnacentral:rRNA from 1 species